GAUGAACGCUGGCGGCGUGCCUAAUACAUGCAAGUCGAGCGAACAGACGAGGAGCUUGCUCCUCUGACGUUAGCGGCGGACGGGUGAGUAACACGUGGAUAACCUACCUAUAAGACUGGGAUAACUUCGGGAAACCGGAGCUAAUACCGGAUAAUAUAUUGAACCGCAUGGUUCAAUAGUGAAAGACGGUUUUGCUGUCACUUAUAGAUGGAUCCGCGCCGCAUUAGCUAGUUGGUAAGGUAACGGCUUACCAAGGCAACGAUGCGUAGCCGACCUGAGAGGGUGAUCGGCCACACUGGAACUGAGACACGGUCCAGACUCCUACGGGAGGCAGCAGUAGGGAAUCUUCCGCAAUGGGCGAAAGCCUGACGGAGCAACGCCGCGUGAGUGAUGAAGGUCUUCGGAUCGUAAAACUUUGUUAUUAGGGAAGAACAAAUGUGUAAGUAACUAUGCACGUCUUGACGGUACCUAAUCAGAAAGCCACGGCUAACUACGUG
rnacentral:rRNA from 1 species